rnacentral:tRNA from 1 species
GGGCGAGUAUGCAAAUUGGCGAAGCAAGCAGAUUGUAAAUCUGUGACGUAAGAUACGCUGUAGGUUCGAGUCCUACCUCUCCCACCA